rfam:Glycine soja cultivar W05 scaffold2622_5, whole genome shotgun sequence.
UUCUGAUUAAACGAUGACGGUCACAUGUCAUGUUCUGAUUGAUGGAUGUCGACUCUAUGGACGAUGAAAUGCAUUGUUAUUGUCAUUGGUCAAUCAGAACAUGACACCUAACAAUCAUCGUCC